rnacentral:rRNA from 1 species
CGGGUGAGUAACGCGUGAGUAACCUGCCUUACACAAGGGGAUAGCCGUUGGAAACGACGAAUAAUACCCUAUGACAUAAACUCUUCGCAUGAGGAGCUUAUCAAAGAUUUAUCGGUGUAGGAUGGACUCGCGUCUGAUUAGCUAGUUGGUGAGGUAACGGCCCACCAAGGCGACGAUCAGUAGCCGGCUUGAGAGAUGUACGGCCACAUUGGGACUGAGACACGGCCCAGACUCCUACGGGAGGCAGCAGC